rnacentral:rRNA from 1 species
UACAGAGGUCUCAAGCGUUGUUCGGAUUCAUUGGGCGUAAAGGGUGCGUAGGCGGCGCGGUGAGUCGGGUGUGAAAUCUCGGAGCUUAACUCCGAAACUGCAUUCGAUACUGCCGUGCUUGAGGACUGGAGAGGAGGCUGGAAUUUACGGUGUAGCGGUGAAAUGCGUAGAUAUCGUAAGGAAGACCAGUGGCGAAGGCGGGUCUCUGGACAGUUCCUGACGCUGAGGCACGAAGGCCAGGGGAGCAAACAGG